GACGAACGCUGGCGGCGUGCUUAACACAUGCAAGUCGAGCGGAAAGGCCUUUCGGGGUACUCGAGCGGCGAACGGGUGAGUAACACGUGAGUAACCUGCCCCUGGCUUUGGGAUAACCAUCGGAAACGGUGGCUAAUACCGAAUAUUCACUUCUUCCCGCAUGGGUUUUUGUGGAAAGUUUUCGGCUGGGGAUGGGCUCGCGGCCUAUCAGCUUGUUGGUGGGGUGAUGGCCUACCAAGGCUUUGACGGGUAGCCGGCCUGAGAGGGCGACCGGCCACACUGGGACUGAGACACGGCCCAGACUCCUACGGGAGGCAGCAGUGGGGAAUAUUGCACAAUGGGCGGAAGCCUGAUGCAGCGACGCCGCGUGA
rnacentral:rRNA from 1 species